rnacentral:rRNA from 1 species
AGCGAACGCUAGCGGCGAGCUUAACACAUGCAAGUCGAGCGGAGGGUUUCGGCCCUCAGCGGCGGACGGGUGAGUAACACGUAGGUUACGUGCCCUUUGGUGGGGAAUAACUUAGGGAAACCUGAGCUAAUACCGCAUAUGCCCUUCGGGUGAAGUACUUCGGACGCCAGAGGAUCGGCCUGCGGCCCAUUAUUUAAUCCUUGUUGGUGGGGUAACGGCCUACCAAGGGUACGAUGGGUAGCUGGUCUGAGAGGAUGAUCAGCCACACUGGGACUGAGACACGGCCCAGACUCCUACGGGAGGCAGCAGUGGGGAA